rnacentral:rRNA from 1 species
GUUCAGACUGCAGGCUGCAACUCGCCUGCACGAAGUCGGAUUGCUAGUAAUCGUAGGUCAGCAUACUACGGUGAAUACGUUCCCGGGCCUUGUACACACCGCCCGUCAAACCAUGAGAGUUGGCAACACCCGAAGUCGGUAGUCUAACCGCAAGGAGGACGCCGCCGAAGGUGGGGUUGAUGAUUAGGGUUAAGUCGUAACAAGGUAGC